UGACAAAUAAACAGACUUAUCUGGCAUAUCACCAUCUAACAGGGGAAACUGGAGAGACGAGGACAAAUUUGGUAUUGUGGUGGUCUGCAAAGGAGGACCCGUUCACUCCCAAAGGUUGUCAGCUGCUGUGCUGGAGCAAGCUCUGACUCACUCCAUUGCUUGAGUAGAAUGUGAAUCAGUAAGGACAUGUUCUACAGCUCGAAGUGAGUGCCUUUCUUUGCUCCCAGAUCAUGUUAAAUAUUUGUAGUA
rnacentral:lncRNA from 1 species